AUUGCCCUAGUAACGGCGAGUGAAGCGGCAACAGCUCAAAUUUGAAAUCUGGCUCUCGGGCCCGAGUUGUAAUUUGUAGAGGAUACUUUUGAUGCGGUGCCUUCCGAGUUCCCUGGAACGGGACGCCAUAGAGGGUGAGAGCCCCGUCUGGUUGGAUGCCAAAUCUCUGUAAAGUUCCUUCGACGAGUCGAGUAGUUUGGGAAUGCUGCUCUAAAUGGGAGGUAUAUGUCUUCUAAAGCUAAAUAUUGGCCAGAGACCGAUAGCGCACAAGUAGAGUGAUCGAAAGAUGAAAAGCACUUUGAAAAGAGAGUUAAAAAGUACGUGAAAUUGUUGAAAGGGAAGCGUUUAUGACCAGACUUGGACUUGGUUAAUCAUCUGGGGUUCUCCCCAGUGCACUUUUCCAGUUCAGGCCAGCAUCAGUUUUCGCCGGGGGAUAAAGGCAGCGGGAAUGUGGCUCUCUUCGGGGAGUGUUAUAGCCCGUUGUGUAAUACCCUGGUGGGGACUGAGGUUCGCGCUUCUGCAAGGAUGCUGGCGUAAUGGUCAUCAACGACCCGUCUUGAAACACGGACCAAGGAGUCGUCUUCGUAUGCGAGUGUUCGGGUGUCAAACCCCUACGCGUAAUGAAAGUGAACGCAGGUGAGAGCUUCGGCGCAUCAUCGACCGAUCCUGAUGUUCUCGGAUGGAUUUGAGUAAGAGCAUACGGGGCCGGACCCGAAAGAAGGUGAACUAUGCCUGUAUAGGGUGAAGCCAGAGGAAACUCUGGUGGAGGCUCGCAGCGGUUCUGACGUGCAAAUCGAUCGUCAAAUAUGGGCAUGGGGGCGAAAGACUAAUCG
rnacentral:rRNA from 1 species